UACGGAGGGUACAAGCGUUAUCCGGAUUCACUGGGUUUAAAGGGUGCGUAGGUGGAUUAGUAAGUCAGUGGUGAAAUCUCCGGGCUUAACCCGGAAACUGCCAUUGAUACUAUUAGUCUUGAAUACCGUGGAGGUCAGCGGAAUAUGUCAUGUAGCGGUGAAAUGCUUAGAUAUGACAUAGAACACCAAUUGCGAAGGCAGCUGGCUACACGAGCAUUGACACUCAGGCACGAAAGCGUGGGGAUCAAACAGG
rnacentral:rRNA from 1 species